AUAAUACUCCCUCCGUUCAGAAUUACUUGUCAUCAAAAUGGAUGUGUCUAGAACUAAAAUACAUCUAGAUACAUCCAUUUUAAUGACAAGUAUUUUUGGACGGAGGGAGUAGUAG
rnacentral:pre_miRNA from 1 species